rnacentral:rRNA from 1 species
ACAUGCCUACAACAUAGCGUUAAUGCAUCAAAUCCCAUUAGAACUCUGUAGUUAAGCAUGCUCAAGCUAGAGUAGUACUGGGAUGGGUGACCGCUUGGGAAGUCCUAGUGUUUUGCAUGCC